AUUGAACGCUGGCGGCAGGCCUAACACAUGCAAGUCGAAUGGUAACAGGAAACCGCUUGCUGUUUCGCUGACGAGUGGCGGACGGGUGAGUAAUGUCUGGGAAACUGCCUGAUGGAGGGGGAUAACUACUGGAAACGGUAGCUAAUACCGCAUAACGUCGCAAGACCAAAGAGGGGGACCUUCGGGCCUCUUGCCAUCAGAUGUGCCCAGAUGGGAUUAGCUAGUAGGUGGGGUAACGGCUCACCUAGGCGACGAUCCCUAGCUGGUCUGAGAGGAUGACCAGCCACACUGGAACUGAGACACGGUCCAGACUCCUACGGGAGGCAGCAGUGGGGAAUAUUGCACAAUGGGCGCAAGCCUGAUGCAGCCAUGCCGCGUGUAUGAAGAAGGCCUUCGGGUUGUAAAGUACUUUCAGCGGGGAGGAAGGAAGUAAAGUUAAUACCUUUGCUCAUUGACGUUACCCGCAGAAGAAGCACCGGCUAACUCCGUG
rnacentral:rRNA from 1 species